CAAUAGCGUAUAUUAAAGUUGUUGCAGUUAAAAGCUCGUAGUUGGAUUUCUGGUUGAAGCGACCGGUCGGGCGUUGAUUCGUCUGCACUGGAGUCGGUUUUGGCCAUCCUCUAGGAAAGUGCGUCUGGUAUUAAGUUAUCGGGCGUAUGAUCCUGGUCUUUUACUGUGAAAAAAUUAGAGUGUUUAAAGCAGGCCUUCGCCUUGAAUACAUUAGCAUGGAAUAAUAAGAUAGGACUUUGGUCUAUUUUGUUGGUUUGCAGACCGAAGUAAUGAUUAAUAGGGAUAGUUGGGGGUAUUUAUAUUCCGAUGUCAGAGGUGAAAUUCUUAGAUUUUCGGAAGAUAAACUUAUGCGAAAGCAUUUACCAAGGAUGUUUUCAUUAA
rnacentral:rRNA from 1 species